rnacentral:rRNA from 1 species
UGCCUAACACAUGCAAGUCGAGCGCGAAAGGGGGGGCAACCUCCCGAGUAGAGCGGCAGACGGGUGAGUAACGCGUGGGUGAUCUACCUUCGAGUGGGGAACAACACCGGGAAACUGGUGCUAAUACCGCAUGACAUCCUCGGGUCACACCGAGGAUCAAAGCUGGGGACCGCAAGGCCUGGCGCUUGAAGACGAGCCCGCGUCCGAUUAGCUAGUUGGCGGGGUAACGGCCCACCAAGGCGACGAUCGGUAGCCGGCUUGAGAGGGCGGACGGCCACACUGGGAAUGAGACACGGCCCAGACUCCUACGGGAGGCAGCAGUGGGGAAUUUUUCGCAAUGGGGGAAACCCUGACGAAGCAACGCCGCGUGGAGGAUGAAGGCCUUCGGGUCGUAAACUCA